ACUAGAAAUGCACAAUUUCGUUGAUAAUUUGCAUUGAAAUUGACUACAGUUUAGUGCAAAUGUUAUUGAAAUUAAUGAGUAAGGACCGUAGGAAUGCUGCGCAACGCAGUUUAAAGCGGCCGCACGCCCGCAGCACCGCAAGAAUGUGACCAGGGAUAUUACAUCUGGCGCCAUAUAACCAAAAUAUUAUGCUGUGCGAAUAGAGUGCCGCCUCCGUAGGAGAUGUUUUGGAAGAGGCAGCCAACCUUCCACCCGUAAUGUCAACUGUGUGGCGGAACAAACCCGGCGCUGUGGCACCACCUAAGAGAGAUUUUGGUGUGCCAGGAGACUCUCCGUGAAGUGAAGCGUCAUUACAUACAGAUAUGUGCAUACUUUGGUUACAUAUUUGCCUCAUCUUCUUUUUAAAUGAACUGCUUACGGUUGAGGUCAUCUGUUUGGAUAUUCAAGUGUUGCUGCUCCACCAAAUUCAACCCUCUUGCACAGUUCAGCUUGCUGGGCGAUUCUGCGCACAGUGCUGUACGUCAUGUGGCUUUCAAGCACCCUUUUGACAAAGCAUGUGUCCGCUGUUCAACUACUGGAAAUAUCCGUCAAAACAUCCGAUUCGAUCCUUCAAUGGUUUAUCCUUUUUUCGAUACAACAUGAUCGAGCAAACCGCCAAGUCCAAUUCGUUUGAAGAAUCCGUAGAUAGAAAAAAACAUGUAAGGAGAACUCCGGACAGAUGCUUUGUCAAAAAGGUGCUUAAGUGCGACGUGAUGUACGGCCUACUGGCAUCACCCUCGCUGUGCGCGCGCUCCACAUGUAAUGUCGUGUAUACCGUCUAAGAUGAACCGUAGGACAUGUUGUUUGAACCAGAGAUGUGCGAGACGACCCGCACCUCCCGGACUGGAGCCAUCUAUAAGUGACCCGGAAUCAUUCGGAUCGACCCGAAAGGUACCAGUAGGUUCAGCAGGUGCAAAAAAGCAUAACCAAUGCAGACCCCCUAGUGCAGAAGAAGAUUUCUCAAUGAUCGUUACUCUUGAUCCUCUCUAUAUCUUUUUUCAAGAGGAAAUUCGUGCUCGCAAUUUAAAUUGAAAUAAAUAACAAACAGUAAAAUUUAACAUGGCUCGGAAAAUGAUAUUGCCACCGGAAAUGCAAAGAAUGGCAGUUUUGCCUGUAGUCU